AGAAAGAUCUACACAAGAUCAGCAGCAUUGUCAUCAUAGAAUGACAGGUGGAGGCUCUACACAGGUGUUACGUUGGAGAACGAGAAAUCUUUAUACCCCUUGUAUGCGUAAUAAGCAAUGCGAGUAUAGUAGAAUCCGGGAAUGAACAGGAUUGGCCAUAAGAUUGUGAAGAACACCCCUGGAAAAACCAUUUUAGUUAACAAGAAAAAAUCAUGUGAUUCUGAUCAAGAAAAUGAAAGAGAAAUAUAAUUGCCAAAAAAUUAGUAUCUGUGCAUGUGUACCAUGGGUUCGAUCACCACCAACUUUGUAGGAAGCCAUGAUAAUGCCCAAGACUAUCCCAGUGCUUCCAAAAACAAGAAGAAAUACAGCGAGGGCAAUCUCUUUGAUUGGCAGCCUGUUAUUCACAGUAUAAGUUGUCUCCGUCAUCAUGCCCUCAUCUGAAAUUGAGAAUUCAUGAUCUAGUAAGCCAUUUCUUGAUUUGGUCCGAAGGCGUUCAAAGGUGAAAGAUGUUGCUGCUCUUGUUCCUGGAUAUCCGGACAAAGAGUUAGACAGACCAAAUUCCAAUCCCAAUACCACUGUCCAGCUAGCAUCACAGUGCAUAAUUCAAUACCACAUUCUGAUAGAACUUGAUAUAAAUACUUCGUUUGUGAUAGUCUCUGGUAGACUAUGCCCAAAUUUUGCAGGCUCCAAUCAGCAACAUAAGUAAAAAUACAAAAUUAAAAAUAAAAAAAAAAACUAGCUUUUCUUGAACAAAUUGAUGCCUUCAUGUUGCACGCCUUGAGUAUACCAAGAGAGAAAUGUUCAAUGGUCAAACAAAUUCGAGUGAAGAAUAGAAGUUCGAGUGAAGAAUAGAAGUACAAAGAACAAGCUUAAAACAACGCAGUGGGCAUAUUUUGUUGCAGCGCUUUCUUUAUGAUUUUUCAAAAUCAUGCUUUUCCAUCUAUAAAAGGACGUUUUACUCUUUGAAAUUCGUGGAUGAUCUUUAGCGUGACUUUUCUCUUUCCUGCCUGCCAAGUGCUCAUACUGUUUGAAAUGAUCAACUGAACAUGAUGGCUGAACUUUAUUGUCCUCUUCUAGGUUCCAAAUGGAGAGGUUUUAGCUUUUGCCGAUGACAAACUUCAUCAAUUUCGAGGGGAGGGUGAAGGAAGCGCGAAAAGCUGCAUUCGUCCUUGUUGCUGGUGGACUUGGGGAACGCCUCGGAUACAAUGGAAUCAAGGUCUUCACAAAGCUAUGAUCUUGCCAGAUCAGCUGCUUCUGUAUUCCCUCUUGUUGGUUAUACAUAAUUGCCUAUUUUAUUCUUAGUUAUUGUCUACAUAUUGCAGGUGGCUCUUCCAGCAGAGACCACUUCAGGGACGUGUGUCCUACAGCAUUACAUUGAAUACAUUCUUGCUUUACAAGAGGCUAGCUGUAGAUUGGCUGAAGGUUUGAUUUGUUAUACUUCUCCUCUAUACUUAAAGGAUUUAGAAAAUUUCUGGUCUGUCACCAAAUAUAUAAUGACAAAGAUGAAGAAAAACAAACGAGCAAAAGGAAGACAUUACAUGACUAUAAAAAAUUAACAAGGACACCGGAGCUGAAUAAAAGAGGACGGCACAGAAAAGCUACUGAAGAUUCUAAACAUUCAAACUAUUGUUUGUUGUGUUCUCUCCAUAUGCACCCCUUGAGACAGAGUGGUGCACUGCUUCAGUACUUCUUCAGAAGUUGAGUCUCCUACGUAGGUAUUCCAAUAGCUAAAAAGCCAGAUGGCAUGUCUUGACUGGAAACUGAGUGUCCUGCUAACUUCAUCUAGUGUUCUCUGCAAAGUACGGAAUAUAAUGCCACUUUUAAUUAGGCUAAUCAGAAGAUUGGCAACUGAACUACUACCUCAUUUGGAAUUUUCUGGACAUUUGUUUGGAGCUGCUUAUCUUUAAUAAGGGAGAAAAGAAUUCAAUUUCUUCUCUCUUUUUUUUUUCUUUUUUUUUUCAGGAGUUAGAGAGAUUUUAUUGCACAACACAAGCAUGUGGACUAAUCCUUAAAAAACAAAAAAAAAGUUUCAUCAAAGGAACCAAAUAACCUCUUCUAGGUCCAUUGAAUCUAUCAAUAAACACGUUAUUCUUGUUAUCAUCUGUCCUAGAAGGAAACUGAAGGUAUGGGGGAUAUGGUCUUUUAAAAGCGAGGUUCUAGAACUGGAUAAAUCCAAAAGUGUUGCAUGACAACUUUUCUUUCUGGUUUAUUAAAGUUCACUAUAGUCACAGCCCGGCUAAGAGCAUCUCUAUCUAAAGAACUAACAGUGGCUGUUCUAGUUUUCCCAUCCUGAUUGUGCAAAAGCCCUUAAAUUAUUCUUCCUGUUAACUUAUGUGUCAUCAUGAACUAAAAUUGUUUUCGGUAUCAAUUUUUCCUUCGGAAGCUCCUCCGAAUUUCUCUGUGAAAUUGAUGUGUCAUUGAAAAGGAUUUGCUCCUAUUUAGUAACCUCCUUAUGCAAGUGCGAUCGAUCUCACAUGUUCCCUAACCCGCACGGCUUUAAGAUUUCUCUCAAGUCAGCCUUACUCACACUCGACUCACAAAGAUCAUAUAAAGAGUAAAGCUAGUAGUGUUUAUUCAAUUGUGAAUGAGAUGAUACAAUUUAGAAGGAGGGGGUCCUUAUUUAUAAAAUUAUGGGGCUAAUCAUAACCAUUGAUCUUCCCUUUGAUCUAAUGAUAGAGCUUAAAUCUUUGUAAACAUUACAUAGCUAUAUAAGAACACUAAAAAAGCCCUAGGACUUUGGGGAGCUCAAGGGUGGCUUGCCUUGGGAAGCUUGAGGGUCACCCGCCCAUCGAUGGGCUUGAGCUUGGACGUGGAUGGGCCAUAGCCUAGCGCUUGAGAAACUUCUGGAACGUGUCCAUCUAUUAGGCCGCAUCAAUCUCCCCCAUCUACUCUUGCAACGCCCUCGUUACAUCUUCCGCAUGAAAGGCAUCAAUAUGUUUCUUGAAUUGCCAAAGAGUUUUAGCGAGCUCAUAGCUUGGUUCACUCUUCGGAAAACCUCUUCAUUGAACCAAGUACUCCCACUUCAACAUACAAUAUCUUUUUUGUAUGACUCGAUCCACCAUGAUGCACUCGACGUCUCAAACAUAUGAGGUUUUUGGGAGUGGUGUCCAUUGCAAUUCCUCUCAAUGUAAAUAUUCAUCGUCUACAUGGAAAGGCUUAGCAUACUAAUGUGGAAUACUAGUUGUAUCUUAAGUUUUGAUAGGAAUUCCAGCUUAUAUGCGACCCAUCUGACCCUUGGUAGUACCCGGAAUGGUCUCUCAUAGCGACGGAUCAGCUCCUUGUGCACGUCCUUGUAUUGCAGGACCGAGUGUCUGCUUGGCAGACACUUGGUUUUCGACUUGGAAUUCUACAUGUCGUUGUUCUUUGUUGGUUCGUUUCUUCAUGCUCUUCAAGGCCUUGUAUAAACACGUACAUGCCAAGUCCACUUGCUCAUGCCAUUCCUCAAUGAACUUGUAUGAGGACGGACUACUCCUUCAAUAGCCCGUGGCAACUACGCUUGGAGUGAGCGAUUGUUGCCCCCUCAAGAUCUCGACCAAGCUCCAUGGGCUCACUCCAUUGCAAGUUGUAUUGAGAACUAGGUCAUGUCAAUUAGCUUCACCCAUUUCACUUGCAUCAUAAUCACAUAGUGCCGAAGGGACAUCUCAAGAUGCAUUCACCCUUUCCAUUUGACCAUCAAUUUGGGGAUGUAAACUCAUGGAAAAAUUGAGGUUCAACCCCAAUAACUUAAAGAGCUCGGUGCAGAGCCACCUCAUGAAUCAAGAAUCGUGGUCGCUCACGAUCAUCUGUGGAACUCCCUAAUACACGAUAACGUGCUUGAUGAAUAGCCUGACCUCCUCCUUGACCGGAUAAUCCUUAGUCUCUGGCAUGAACAUCACUUACUUGGAGAAUCGAUCUACUACAACUAUGAGAGUUUGACACCUUUUGGAAUUCGGUAGGUUCACGAUAAAGGCUUUCCCAUGGACGCUUCAAGACAAGAAGUGGCUCGAGGAGCCCUUGCGACGAACGUUAUUUGAACUUGUCAUGUUGACAUACAAGAAAUGUCUUCAUGUAGGCUUCAACGUUGUCCUGCAAAAUGAGGCCAGCAUUAUUGAUCCUCCACAAAUGCCAUGGUGCGGUAGAUCCCCAGAUGACUUGCCAACUUCAAAUUGUGGCACUCGUGUAAUACUCCAUCCCUUAACUUCCCAUGGAGUGGCACAUAGAUUCACUGCCCCUUGGUGUAAAUGAGAUCAUUCUAACACCAAAAUCAUCGGCUCCUACCCUCCUAUCGUACUAAAGGAGUGCCUUGGCCGUUGGGUCAUGUCUUAGCCUCUCAUUGAUGCGGUUGAUCCAUGGGCGCUCGUGUCAAUUCAUGAUGUUGGCCAACUCCAUCCUUCGACUAAGUGUGUUGGCCAUAGAGUUAGCCUUGCUAGUACUCUAGCACGUAAUUGAACUCUGCUAGAAAGUCUUCCCAUUAGGUUUAAUUCAAACUUGACUUCUUUUGGGUCUAAAAAUAGCUUGUGGCCAAAUUAUCCGCCUACACGACAAAUUUGGACACCAAGAGAUAGUGCCUCCAUGUACGAAGGUAGUGCACCAUCGUGGUCAUCUCUUUCUCUUAAAAUGUGUAUCAUCACUCGGUAUCAUUGACCUUGCAAGACUCGAACCCAUCGAGUGUCCAUCCUGCAUAAGAACACCAUUAAUAUCAUGAUCUGAGGCGUCGGUCUCUACCUCAUAUGGUUUGGCAUGAUCAGGCAGCAUGAGCACCAGCUCUUCGAUCAUUGCUUGAUGGAGUCAAUUAAACGUCUAUUGGCACCAAUCCAUCCACUCCCAUAGCUUCUCCUUUUUCAACAUGUCCAUGAGUGGCACGAUGAUGCUCGAACAGCUUUCAAUGAAGUGUCGAUAGUAAUUCAUGAGGCCAAGAAAUAACCUCAACUUCAUUACUUUAAUUGGCAGCUCCCGUUCCACAAUGGGUUGAAUCUUGACCAUAUCCAUCCACACUCAUCCACCCUCGACAAUGUGUCCCGAGAAUUAGACUUCCUCUUGUGCAAAGGCACACUUUUCUCACUUAACAUGCAAGUCAUUCUCCCGCAAGACUUGGAAAACUUGUCUCAAAUGCUUGAUGUAUUCUUCAAGCGUCUAGCUAUAAACCACAAUAUCAUCAAGAUAGACUACAACGAAUUGAUCAAAGAAUGGGUGGAGUACCUUGUUCAUUAAGAUGCAAAAUGUGGCGGGAGCGUUAAUCAAGUCGAAUGGCAUGAUGGGAAACUCGUACGGUCCAUACCGUGUCACACAUUGGGUUUUUGGCUCGUCUCUUUCAACAAUCCAAACUUGGUAAUAGCCUAAUCGAAGAUCCAACUUAGUAAACCUCUGUGCUCUGCCACGCGAGUUGAAUAGAUUCGCAAUGAGUAGAAUUGAUACUAGUUCUUGAUUGUGAGCUUGUUUAGUGCUCGGUAAUCUAUGCACAUAUGGAGAGAUGGAAUCACGCUUCUUUUGGAACAAGACUAGGACACUGAACAAAGCCUUAGACGGCCGAAUAUAGCCCGCAUUGAGCAAUUCUUUAAGUUUCUUGAGCAGCUCUUCCAAUUCAAGGGGUGUCAUGCGAUAGGUUGCCACGGCAGGUGGUUGAGCAUCAUGCAUUAGCUCAAUCUAAUGAUCGAUUUUCCUUCGAGUCAAAAGCUUCUUAGGUAACUUGGGAGGCAUCACAUCCUUGAACGAGUUGAGAACUUAGACCACCUCCAUUGGGACGUUACUCCCUCUGCCUAUGUGUCCCUCGACCUUCAAGGCUAACAAUGAUGUCUCCUCACCCUUCUUUACUCCCUUGGUGAGUUGCAUAGCCAAUGGCAUCAUUUGAUCACGACCCAACUCACGGUAAAUGAGGAUCACACAUUGACAACGUGCAACUAAGAUGCAUAUGCAAUCAGUGAAUGGCAUAGCACCACAAUUUAUUCCAUCAAGGAAUCCAAGACCUAUAACAAGGUCAUAAUAGUCAAGAAGAAUUACCUCAACAAUCUCCUUUCUAUUCCAUGGACCAAUGUGAAGCUCCAUGUCCCUAGCCACUCUGUUGGUCGGGACUUCGUUGGAGUUUAUAGUCUUGAGCCACUUGGCUCCUUUCUUGACCCAAAGACGUAGCUUCUCCGUGGCCUCCUCAUUGGAUGCCCCCGUAUCCAUAAGUGCACUCACCGUGGUACUCCCGAUCUUUACAUCCACGAACAUAAGUCUCUUAGGCUCUUUCGCCUUCUUGGACUUGAUAGAGCCAAGGAUUCACAAUGAACCCAAUCGCAAUCCCUUUUGUGGCUUACCCUCCUUGCAUAGGGCCGCCAACUUAUCCUUUUUUAGACAAUCCUAAGAAUAUGUGAAUCAUCGCAAAAGAAGGAUUUAUAGGUAUGUACCUUCCUCUGUCCCAACCACUCAACUCCAGUUAGGCCUUAGGAGCGACCAUGGUUGUUUGCCUCCAUUCGGGCGGUUGUACUUAUUUUGAUCUCCCCCACCAUAGGCUUUUUCCUUCAAACAAGAGUAUGAUUUCGUUAUGGAAGGUGAGUUGUACUCUACAAGGGACUUGGCCACAGUUGUGGCUAUUGUGGUAUCCCUCGCAUAGCACCAUUUGAACUCUUACUUGACCCAUGGCUUAGGCUAGUCAAGAAUUGGUGAUACGCCUCCGUAUCACUCAUCGAAGGGAUGUGGAGUAGUUACUUAGAAAACCACUUCGCAUACUCAUGAACUCUUUCAUUUUGCUCAAGGCGCUUAAGCUCAUCGCGAGCAUUCUCCUCUGCAUAAUAAGCGCGAUAGAAGUUUCAUUGAAAUUCCUCAAUACAACCCAACCCAUGUCAUGAUAUGUUCCCUACUCCUAUUGUCUAACCUAUGACACCACCACAAUAAUACAUAAUCAAUUAAUUUCAUCACUACAAUGUUUACCUAAGAUGCAUCAUCAAUGAUUCUUGUGGCUUGCGCUUCAUGUUCCAUAGGAAGUUAUCCAUAUCCUUAGCCACUCGCGAGUCUUUGAACUCUCUUAGCUUUAGUGUGUCCAUUCAUGGGUCGGUUUGGAUGGUGACCACACUAUUCACGCGUGUCGCUUCAACUUCCGUGAGCUUGCCCUUAAGUUCAGCUAUUUCAACACGCAUGGUUGCGAUCAUGGUCUCACAGGUCUCAUUCCGUUGUUGGAGUUCUUGGGUCAAGGUCCCCGUACCUCCCCAUGGAACACUCCCAUUUCGGUUUUGAACUCUUGCACCUUGUUACGAGCUCCUUCUUUCGGCCUCUAUUCAUUGACAGUUUAGGUCAAGUCCUCUACCAAUUUUUAGACAUCCGAGACAAUCUCUUCCAUGUUCGUCAUUCGAGGUUCCAAAUCACCCAUCGGAUCCCUUAAACUAAAAACAACACGAUUUUUCUUAGAUCUGGUGUUAACCUUCUCAAUAGCCCUUCUACGAUCCUCAUCUUACGCAAUCACGACAUGGGAAUAUGGAUCAGCCAUUGCGCCUUGGAACGACUCACUCCAAUACCACUUGUCAUAGGUCGAUCAAUAUCACGUUCCCUAACUAGUGUGGCCUUAGGAUUUCUCCUAAGUUAGCCUUACUCAUACUCGAUCAAUCUCACGUUCCCUAACUAGUGUGGCCUUAGGAUUUCUCCUAAGUUAGCUUUACUCAUACUCGAUUCACAAGGAAUGUAUAGAAAGUGAAGCUCAGUAGUGUCUAUUCAGUUGGGAAUGAGAUGAUCCAACUUAAGAUAGGGGGCCUUUAUUUAUACAAGUACAGGGCUAAUCAUAGCCAUUGAUCUCCCCUUUGAUCUAAUGGUUGAGUUUAAAUCUCAUAAUCAUUACAUAAUAUACAGGAACACUCAAGAAGCCCUAGGGAUUCAGGGAGCUCAAGGGUCGCUUGCCUUGAGGAGCUUGAGGGUCAUUCGGCCGUGGAUGGGCUUGAGCUUGCACAUUCAACUUUGUGUGCAUUUAUCUGAAACUCUCUCUUUGGCCUCAAUAGAACUCUCUCUUUGUUGCGUUGAAUAUUGGGAUGACUAUUUUCAAGUCUUAUAACAGACUGUCUCCUGUCCAUUUAACAUUUUCCUUUCUGUUCUAUGAUUGACAUUAUUAGAGGUUCAAAUUCUUAUUAUGGCAUCUCUCUGUUACGCAUGAACCCCGAUUACUCCUUGUGUGUCAAAGAUCUUUGGAACUCUCCCUUUUCGACUCAUCAUCAAAGGUCCAUCUCUCCUCCUCAUAGAUUACAGUGAAAGGUAGGGUCGAGAACAAAGGGUGGAGCCUUGAGAGUGUAGAUUACAAAGAUACUUCGGUGCCAGAGGAAAUCAGGAUCAGGGACUUCAGGAUUAACAAAGUCGGGCAUCUGGAGAAGACCUACAACGGGCCUGGCAAAUUUUGCUUAGAGGUUUGAGAGGGUGGUUAUAGUUGUCGGGACAAUUUUUUGCUUUCUCCAGGGUUUUCCAACUGUAAAUUGGAUUGACUGUAAGAGUCCUCUUCUGUCCAUCCGCCACAGUCCUAGUUUCAACCAUCUAAUUGUUUCUUGGUUUUGAGCCUGAAGUGCAUUCUGGUUAAUUAAAAAGAAGAUGAUUCUACCUAGAUUUCGCAUUGUUUCGCACCAUUUUCUCUCGGGAGAGUGGAGAGUGAGUCCAUGUACAUCAGUAAGAGCUCAAGUUAGAGUUUUUUUAAUUGAGUGCAACCAUUUCACCGUCCCCGUGAAAAUGCAAUUGAGAGUGUUUGGGGAAAUUAUCUCCUUUAUCCUUGGUAUUAGAAUAAGAAGCCUAUGUUAAUGCUUCGUGUAAGAGCUUUUUCUUUAAUUGACAUGUAACCCUAGAUAAAGCAGAUGAUGUUUUGAGUUAACUUGUAUAAAUAUUUUUAUUUUCUAUCCUAAUAUUCGUGAUAGUUUCAUUUCAUAUUAUAGUAUUGGAAAUGGUUUUAGUGUUAAAAUAAAUCUAAAAUCCGAUAAGUCAAAUUAAAUUGUGCUAAAUCAAUAAGUUAAGUUUAUUGGUUUAUUGGAAUUAUUCUUUCUUAUCAGUUGGUCUGUACAUUUUCAAAUUUAGUUGUUGAAAAUUUAAUAAUAAUGAAUCAAAUUGAUGAUUACAUUGCAUAUUAUUUUGUCUUAUCAGAUGCUCAAAAGCCUACUAAAGUGGGUACUUCUUCGAGGAUCAUGAAUCUAGGACAAGGCUUUUUGUUUGAUUUUUUUUAUUUAUAUAAAGAGCAGAAAAAUACCAAAUCUAUACAUACAACAAUUCAAUCUUUAGACCUUUUAAUUUAUCAAUAUAAUUUAAAAAAUUUGCUUGUACCUUGCAUUAGUAAGAGCUCUAAGUAGAGUUUUUGCUUGAGUUACAAGCAACCCUCUCACCAUCCCCUAAGGAAAAUGCAAUUGAAAGUACUUGUGGAAACAAUCUCCUCCAUCCUCGGCAUUUAGAAUAAGAAGCCUACGUUAAUUAAAUAACCAAUAUGCUCCUCGUAAGAAAUUUUCUUUAGUUGAGAUGUAAUCUUAAGUAGGGCAAAUGAUGUUUUGAAUUAACUUCUUGUCUAUUAAGAAAGAAACGUAUACAAGUGGUGCUACUUUUUUCCCAAUUAGUCUAACAAGCACAUAAAUAUUUUCAUUUUCUAUCCUAAUAUUCGUGAUGGUUUCAUUUCAUAUUAUAAUGUUGGAAAUGGUUUUAGAGGUGCUAAAGAAAAUCUAUAUAUUGAUAAGUCGAAGCAAAUUGUUCUAAAUUAAUAAGUUUAGUUCAUUGACUUAUCAUAAUUAUUUUUUCUUAACAGCUUGUCUAUACAUUUUCAAAUUUAAUUGUUAAAAAUUUACUAACAUCCAACCAAAUUGAUGCGUAUUAUUUUGUCCUAUUGGAUGCUCAAAAGCCUACUAAAGUGGAUACUUCUUUGAGGACCAUAAAUCUAGGACAAGGCUUCUUGUUUGAUUUUCUUUUUUAUUAUAUAUUAAACAGAAAAAUCACCAAAUCAAUACAUAUAUCGAUUCAAUCUUUAAACCUUUUUAAUUUAUUAAUAUAAUUUUAAAAAAUUUAAUUAAUUUAAUAUGUUAUUUUCAAUCAAUUUUGACUGGCCGGUACGUGACGUUACAAUCCUGAAUGAAAUUUUUCUUUUUUUUUAUUAAAAAAAAUCUCUUUUUUCAUUUUCCUUUUUCUGAUAAACUUUUUCCCUCAUCUUCAAACCUCCGUCCUUGAACUUCGAACGCCGGUCUUCACCCUCUGAGAUCGCUCGGAGCCACCGCGUUCGGCUCAAAUCCGAGAAGCAAAUGGACGGGACGGGACGGCCGGAUCGGCCCUCCGCCGUGACCAGGCGGAGCAAUAUCUGGCCGUGCUCGCGUCGACCAGCUUCCAAGCUGGGUCUCUUCGGAUGAACUUGCAGAAAGAACUUACAGUUUCUCGAGUCUUGGAGAUACGCUUGGGGAAACCAUCCCUCAAAUUUCAAAUCUUGGACCGAGAUUUCAUGUUUUUCGUCUUGUCCGGUGGAAGAAACCCACCGCGCCGCAAAUGCAGGCUCACAGCGACCUCCCUCCUCCGUCUCCAACCCCGCUAGCCUGCCUCGACGUCGAACAGCUCCGCCAUGCCGAACCUCUUCUUCCAGGUUAAAAAGAAAAAAAAAGAAAAAAGAAACGAAGUUCGAUAUUUCUGUCCGACCUCGUGACUCUUCAUCUUCUUCCGGAUGAGCAAAAAUAUGAAUUUCGAGGACGUACAGCUUUGAGAGCGUUCCGGGUCUCGAGGGAUCGUCCUGCAAGAUACAAUUAUCUAGCUUCAAAUUUCUAGCAAUCGUCUCUACAUGCCGCGGGCGGAGAUCGAGCCGCCGGCCGCCGCGACGGAGCUCGAGGACCUCUGGAUCUGGGGCCUCGAGCUCGACGCGGCGGCGGAGCUGGAGGGUCGUCCAGCAUGGCCCAGAUCUCGAAAGGCCUCCAGCAUCGUCGUCGGUCGAAGAAUCGUCUUCUGGGUUUUGAAGUCUCGAAGGGGUCGAGGACUUCAUCUGGAUAAAGUUCGGUUGCUUUCCUUCCGCGUUUUUCUCACGGGUGUUUCGGUUGCUGGGAAAUGAGGGUUUUUGGAGAGACACAGGGCUUGAUGGCGCCGGCGGGUGAAGACGGCGGCAACGAGGUAUGACCAGUAACAUGGAACCGAGAAAGAAGAUGAACAGCUGCAAGAAAGAAAAUAGAAGGAAAAGGAGUGGAAUAAUUCAGGUGAUUUUGCCUUCAUUGAGCUAUGCCUUCGCACUUCCUUUUUCUUUGGCAGAAGUUAAGGAAUGUUUUUAUGGACAAAUCUUUUUUUUAAUGGUUAUGAUCGAAUAUUGCGUUUUGAGUUACUGAUGAUUAAAUCAAGUUGUUGAACAAGAAAUAUAUUUCACUUUUGUGUCGAGUUGAUUUUUAAUGGUUUGAAACUGAACCAUAGGAAGUUGUUAAUUCAAUUUGAAUUUCUAUUUAGUUAGUUUGGUUUGGAGUUGGGUUGAGACUUUUCCAUAUUGAUAAGUUCGGCUCGGGUUGGAGAUGUCUCCAAGUGGAAUCGAGCGGAAUCGAGCGGAACCGAACCGAACGAUGAGCACCCUUGCAAGGUACACCCAUCUUGUAAAAGAAACGUCACAAAAGCCCAUGUUUUGUUCGCAUGAACUAAUUGAAUACUCUUUUGUUUGCAUGAACUAAUUGAACACUGGAGCAAAAGCAUAUCAACAUCACAUCAUUAUUUAUUAAUAUCACAUCAUUACAAUAAGAAUCAGCACUAGUGCUUUGACCACCUUAACAUAUCAACAGGCUCGGCAUAUUCAAGAAUUACAUGGUAUUUACAUCUUACAAAUAACAACAUUACCUAAUUAUUUCAUUAACACAAACAUUGGACCUAUAUCAUGACAAGAGAAAAAUUACUAUUGAGUCAAGCCUGCGCAGCUUUGCUACUACUAGGAUCUGCCGCCGCCACAAAGGAUAAUUUUCAAUAUUCCACGGAGCACGCCUCCCCUACGACCAUUGGCCAUCUUGGAAGAGAGGGGGGGGGGGGGGGGGGGAAAACUUCUUUUAAAAAAAAAUUAAAGUUUUGAGGAGGGAGAUUUCUGAAGGAAAACAACAUUUUGAUUUUGGUUUGAGAAAUGAUUCAAAAAAACCUUUUUAUAUAGGAGAAAGGGUAGCAUUUUCAUUACAAUUCUCAUGAAGUUCCCACAAACUUAUAGGGAAAAUACAGGGUAUGGGGGAUACCUUCUCUUUCUUGGAUGCUAAGUUAAUCUCUUCCCUCUCGCAGAAUAUGCCAAAUGUAAGUGUUAUCAACUUUAUUUGGGGGCAGCAUUGUGAUUUAAAGUUUUGAGAAAACUUCUUUGAGAAAAGAGUUAAAGUUUUGAGGAGGAGGAUUUCUGAUGGAAGACACAAUUGUGAUUUUGGUUGAUGAAAUGAUGCAAGAUAACCUUAUUAUAUAGGAGAAUGAAAGUGUACACAGGCUAGCAUUUCCAUUACAAUUCUCAUGAAGUUCCUACAAACUUAUAGUGAAAUUACAGGUUAUGGUGGAUACCUUCUCUUUCUUGGAUGCUAAGUUAAUCUCUUCCCUCUCGCAGAAUAUGCCAAAUGUAAGUGUUAUCAACUUUAUUUGGGGGCAGCAUUUCCUCUACAUUUGCUACGAUCCCGAGUGAUAAUGCUUGCAAACCAAUUUUCCCGAUCGGUAUAUCCUUCUGCAUUUCUCAAUCAUCUUCUCUGAACUUUACCGCAAGAUGAGAAUGUCCCCUCUCUCCUGGUUUGUCUUGGGGGCGUCUUUCUCUUCGUGUCAUCACAUGGAGGUGGGAAAAAGUGCUUAAACCUUUUGUAUUUAUGUCAAUCUAGUUCUAAACUUUUUUAUGGUGCCAUUUCAAUCCUAAACAUUUUCACUUAAUGCCAAUUCAGUCAUUUCCAACCAAUUUUAGCCGAAUUUUGUUAACUAAAUGCCGGCCGGCUGACAUGGCAUGAUCAGUACUGACGUGAACAAAUUUUAAUAAUAUUUUAAUAUUUCUUUUUUCUUUUUUCCCUCCCCUCCUCCAGCUGAUCGUCGGACCUCGGUGACGAGCCAAAGGCGAUGGCCGACGAGGUCGACCUCGCUAGCCACCUUGCCCUCACUGCCCAGCGCGAUAGUGGCCACGAGGGCGGCCUCACAUUGGACAGUGAGGCUCAACCUCGCCAAAUCCUCGCCCAAGCCGCGAGGGCGACCUAGCACUGGGCCAGCAAGGCUCGACCUCGCCGAAUCAUGGCCUGGGUGGUGCCGGCAAGGCUCACCCUCGCCUGCCAUGGGCAAGGCUCGACCCUCGCCAGAUCCGAUGAGGGCGAGGUGGCCAGCAAGGUCCAGCGAGGUCGACCUCGCUAGCCGUUGCCUUGGUCGGUCGCCAAGGUCUAGCGGCUGGCUAGAGGAAGGGAGGGAAAAAAUAAAAAAUAAAUUCAAAAAUAUUAAAAUUUAUCCACGUCAGCCAAUCUGUGUCCAGUCAGUAAAAUCCAGCCAAAAUUGGCUAGAAAAGACUGAAUCAGCACUAAGUAAAAAUAUUUAGAACUAAAUUAGCACAAAAAAAAGGUUUAGCACUAGAUUUGCAUAAAUAUAAAAGGUUAAGGACUUUUUAAGCACUUUUCCCCAUGGAGGUGUUGACGUGUCCCAUACACCAGCAGGGGCACUCCCAAUUCCAAAUAAUUUCAUCGUGUAAAGUCGUCCACGUAAUGUUAGAAUUCCACGGGGAAUGAAGUUGCUCAAAAGCGAUUCUUGGACGUGUGUAUCAUCGCCUUUUCCCAAUAAACUUUAGGAUGUGAAGAUACUAGAGGAAGAUUAUUAUCGUAAACCUAUUGUGGCAGUAUUAGGAACGAUGACAUUCACACGAAUUGCAUUUAUCAAGCAAGUGACAAGAAUGUUCAUCCAGAAAGCCUGCAAGUUCACUUGCUUGGCAGCUGAUUUGGCCAGUUUUCAGGACUUCUCUUGGAUCACCAUCGCUUCGGAUUGCGUGAGCCACCUCACGUGGGAUUCGCGUAAUCUUAAAAAUGCAAUGCAUUAGCCCUACAUGAACCCGGCGCGUCCAAUAACGGGUGACGAGAAAAGUAGAGGAAAAUGUUGUCUAGAAAUUUAAUAUAUGGCAAUUUCUCAUCACUUUCACAUCAGGAAAAGAAAAUGGUAGAUUCCCAUCAUAAUUGGCAUAAUGCAAUCACAGAAAGAUGGAUUGAGGAACAAGAGCAGAGGAGAAGAACAAUCUCUGCUUUUUCAAGUUAAAUCUCCCGUAAGUUUGUGGAAGAUGUAGAGAACCGCAAUGGAAAUGUUGACGGGCUCAUAGCAUUUUCUUUUUUCCUGCGAAAUCAGAAAGAUGGAUUGAGGAACAAAAGCAGAGAAAAGUAGAGCAAUCUCUGCUUUUCUCUGCUUUUUCAAGUUCAAUCUCCCGUAAGGUUGUGGAAGAUGUAGAGAACCACAAUGGAAAUGUUAAGGAGCUCAUAGCAUUUUCUUCUUCCUGCAAUAACAGAGAGAUGGAUUGAGGAACAAAAGCAGAGAAAGGAAGAAAAAUCUCUGCCUUUUCAAGUUAAGUCUCAAGUAAGGUGGCGGAAGAUGUAGAGAACCGCAAUGGAAAUGUCGACAGGAGCUCAUAGCAUUUUGUUUUUCCUGGCUCAGCAACUUGUAUAAAUAGAGCCAUUGCCUCCCACAAUUUUCAUCGAUCAAUAUCUCUUGCAUCGCUACUUGGGUUUCCGUUCAAAUCCGUCUUAUAAUCUUCUUUCUCGGUUCGUUACUUCUCCACCAAAAUGCCUAACAGCAACAGGGCAUCUGGCCGCGGAGGUGUCUUGCUGGGGAUACUGAGUUGCAUCUGCUGCGGUAAACCCAACACGACUGAGAUCAUCCAGCUGCUGAUCUACGACUCUUGCAAUGUAGGCACAACAUUUCUGUCGAUUCAAUGGGUGUGAAAUGCAUGGUGCAACAAAACUUGUCCUGAGUCCUUAUUUAUUUUCCUUUGUCUAGUAUUUAAGUAACGAAUCAAAAAGAAAAAAUCGGCAUGGUUUAUAGUGCAGAAUCUUCAACAACUUUUGAUUCGUUACUUCAAUAUUUACCACUAUGUAAUAAAAUUAGCAAAUUAGGUAUCGUCGGCCGACCUGUUCAUUGUGUAAUUUCGUUCAUGUAUUGUCAAUCCUCGUUCAUGUAUCGUCGAUUCUUGUGCACUAUCCUACAUUGCAGUUGUAAUUUUCGCUCUGCAUAAUCAUCCUUUUAUUUUCGUUUGCUUGAGUUCAGGGAUGUAUCAUGUAGUUGAUACAGACCUAAGCGGUGCAGCCACGGGAUUCCAGUACAUCUAAUAUUUGAAUUCGCAUCUAUGAUACAUGAAACAAAGGAUCAAACUCAAACUUUUGUAAGGGCUAAAUCGUACAAUGCGUAGUUUACAGAAGAAUAUCGAUCCAAUAGGGCAUUUUCCUUACAAAUACACAAAUGAAGAAACUCGAGAGCUGAUAAGGCCGUUGCAUGAUUAAUACAGCAGAAAAGGGAGUUUUUACUGAACUGUUCAGAAGUGAAUAAGGAGGGCAGAAAGAUAUAAGAAUCUUUGGCAGCCGACCAUCUUUAUAUUUUCAUUUGAUUAGAAACAUUAGUCUUGAUGCAAAGACAGUUUCAACAUAUUAAGCUUAAAAAGAUGACCCGCUUUGAGUCAUUUUCUUCCUGAGGAAGACCCAAAAGUGAUUUGAACUGUUGAACCAAAGGUUCAGAGGGGCUUCGAGAGGAUUCGGAAAAACAGUUCAAAGCCGGUAGUUGAAUAUCUUAAUGGACUUGUAACAGGUGCUUCCCUGACAAUAUUAGAUCAUAGUUUCUCCAGUUAAAAUGAAACUGAUGCUACAGCUCCUCAGUUCUCUCAACAGAACUCAUUAAGUUUCCCUCUUCUACUUCGGUUGUCCACCUUAAGCCAACUCGCCUCGACUCUGCUAUUGCUUCUCUGCUCUGUCUCGGCUCAUCACUCCACACAAAUUUCUUCAGCCAAAGGAAAACAAAUCUAAUUUUCUUGUCCAUGAUUUUCAGAUCUUAAUUAAAUAGCUUUGAUAUGGGGUUGAAGUUUUCAGACAGAAGAUAUUUUACUCAUUUAAAUCAGUUGUGUGAAGCAGAUUAACUCCAAUUCAAUGAGUACAUUAAUGCUGUGAAGCACGUGGGACUGUCAACAUGGAAAUGGAGUUAAAAAAUGUAAAAGAGCACAAAAUCCUUGAAUAGGCACAAUAUAUGAAAAGAUGGGAGCUCAAUAACGUAGGUAACAGCUUUAGUUUAAACAAAGAGAGAACUGAAAUUUCAGAUCUGAUGAUUAGUCCAAAGAAAGUGCCAAACAUAGCCUCAGGAAAAGAGAAUGAUGUCAUAAGUCUAGUAUAUUAGAUAGCAAUGUUGUCUGUACAUUCUGUGCUUGUUCAUAGGACAUCAACAGUCUGUAUACUAAUGAAGUCCCCAGACAAAGCUUAAAGCUUCAUAGAAACAUAUCAAAAGAGAAACAAGAAAAAGGGGGGAAGAAAGAUCUAUACAUGAUCAGGCAGCAUUGUCAUCAUAGAAUGACAGGUAGAGGCUCUACACAGGUGGUAUGUUGGAGAACGAAAAACCUUUAUAUCCCUUGUACGCAUAAUAAGCAAUGCGAGUAUAGUAGAAUCCAGGAAUGAACAAGAUUGACCCUAACAUUGUGAAGAACACCCCUGAGAAAAACCAUUUUAGUUAACAAGAAUAAAUCAUGUGAUUCCGAUAAAGAAAAAUGAAAAAGAAACGUAAUUGCCAGAUAAAUAGUAUCUGCGCAUAUGUGUACC
rnacentral:lncRNA from 1 species